rnacentral:rRNA from 1 species
GGGCCCGCACAAGCAGUGGAGUAUGUGGUUUAAUUCGAAGCAACGCGAAGAACCUUACCAGGGCUUGACAUCCGACUAACGAAGCAGAGAUGCAUCAGGUGCCCCUUAUGGGGAAAGUCGAGACAGGUGGUGCAUGGUUGUCGUCAGCUCGUGUCGUGAGAUGUUGGGUUAAGUCCCGCAACGAGCGCAACCCUUAUUGUUAGUUGCUACGCGAGAGCACUCUAGCGAGACUGCCGUUGACAAAACGGAGGAAGGUGGGGACGACGUCAAAUCAUCAUGCCCCUUAUGUCCUGGGCUACACACGUACUACAAUGGCGGACAUACAACGGGGAGCGAAGCGGCGACGCGGAGCAAAUCCCAAAAAAGCCGCCCCAGUUCGGAUUGCAGGCUGCAACUCGCCUGCAUGAAGUCGGAAUUGCUAGUAAUCGCGGAUCAGCAUGCCGCGGUGAAUACGUUCCCGGGCCUU